GGAAAAACACCUUCUCGCUUAGAGCUUUUUCUUGAAUCCAGAAAGAGAAAGCAAGGCAAAAAAAUUGAUCCAAUAUCACAAGAAGCCAUUGAAAAGUUUCAGCAACUAAAGAAACAACGAAAAGAAGGACAAAUUUCACUGGAUGAUGAUGCUAUGUUUGCUGAUGUACUUGGGCCAGAAAAAAAUGGUUAUGUACGUGCUUAUGGUCCUGGAAAAAAUGUCACGGAAUAUUUUGGUGCUAGACCUACAAAGAUAGAACUACUUAGACAACUUGAUAUUUCAAGAAGAGAAGCAAACGAGCAUGUCCAACAAAUUCAAAAAGAAGCAAGUGAACAAGUAAAUGAUGUUAAGAAGCAAAUGGAUGAGAAACUUGCAGAGAUGAAUAGAAUAUGGGAGUAGAAAUUCAAGAUACUUUUGGAGAAAAACAAUAAUAUUGCAUCACCUAUGGAGGAUUCCCAAGAUGAUGAAAUUGGAGGAUGAUUUGCAGUAUAUUUGAAGUUUUGGAUUUUGAAGCAGCCAGCAACCUUAUAAUACUACUUUUAGAAAAUUUAGAUAUUAAUAUUAGUGUUAGUAUAAUAUUAUAAUUUCAA